UUCUCGUUUCAUUCCCAAACGCAGUGACUUCGAAACGCAGUGACUUCGUCUUCUUCGUCUUCGUCCCACAAAUCCCAAAUCGUGUGACUUCGAAAUCCAAAAUCAUGGCAUAAAACUCUUUGAAAUCCCUAAAUCCGGAUUCAAACUCGUUUUCACCCAGCUCGUUCCAGAUUCAAACUCGUUUUCACGCAUCUCGUUCCAGAUUCAAACUUCUUCACAACUGUUCGUUCAAUCACACUCAGAUUCAAACUCACGAGUUCCAGAUUCUUGGUUCCUUCUUCAUUCAGAUUCAAUCUUCUUCACAACUCGUUCUUUCAAUCUAAGAUUCAGAUUCAACCUCGUUUGUUCAAGGUAUUUAAAACUUUCCCACGACCGCAAAAGUUGAGACGGAGCUAAUAUGAAGAAUUAUAUUUUGGAGGAAAGAAUCGUGUUGUUUGACAUAGAUCAAAUCUCUAACUUUACACAAAGAGAGGAAUUUGAUAAAGAGAAAGAACCUGAUGGGAUGGUUCUCUCAGGAUGCAGUCAACCGGUGUCAGCAGCAGAGAUGAAAUCCAGAGAGGAAUUUGAUGAAGAGAAAUAAUGCAGACACCUAAAGCAAGGUUCAAUCUAUACUGCUGUUACUUGGCGGCCGUGAAAUACUUCCAACAGUACCUUCCAUGCCACUGACGAAAAUAACCGGGUAAUACUACAUUAUUCGUUGGAGUGUGAUUGAUAGUCUUUUGUAGUCGAAUAUCUGGCUCAUGAUGCUUACUAUCAUUAUUUCUUUGAUUGAGCUUACAUAGAGUAUUUGUUUUGUGUUGAAAUCAUAAGUUCACUGUUUUAAAUCAUAUUUGUAAAUGGUUUUGUUUACCGAUACCAAUGAAAGGGUGGAAAACAAGACAUAGUGGCGAGUUCCUUGAUAAGUCUGCAAUAAUAUAUAUUUGGUUUUUAAAGAAGCCUCAAAUAGUGUUCAAAUUAUUUCAAAAUCCAUGAUCCAUUACAGUUGUUUUCGGUUCAUAUUUCUCAAGGACAUGGAUCUAUAACUGAUAUAUUGCAUCUACAAAGUCCGUUAUGCCAUAAUGUACAAUAUAACUUAGGCAAAUUUAACAUGGUUAUGUCAUGUUCCUUUUAAUUGCUAACAAGGAGAUAACAGACUUAUGUCAUGAACAAUUGUGAUAGAAGGCAAGUUAGGAAGAAUGAUAGAAAAAAACUGGAAACCAUACAUACCACUACGGAUAUUCGUAAAUACCCGUAGUGGAAUCCCCAAUUCUUUAAAAAAAAAAACUGGAAAACCAUACAUACCACUACGGAUAUGUGUAAAUACCCGUAGUGGAAUCCCCAUGAUUUAUAUUAAAAAAA